rnacentral:rRNA from 1 species
UACGGAGGGGACUAGCGUUGUUCGGAAUUACUGGGCGUAAAGCGCACGUAGGCGGAUUUGUAAGUCAGGGGUGAAAUCCCGGGGCUCAACCUCGGAACUGCCUUUGAUACUGCAAAUCUCGAGUCCGGAAGAGGUGAGUGGAAUUCCUGGUGUAGCGGUGAAAUGCGCAGAUAUCAGGAGGAACACCGGUGGCGAAGGCGGAUCUCUGGGGCUGUUCUGACGCUGAGGAGCGAAAGCUGGGGGAGCGAACGGG